rnacentral:misc_RNA from 1 species
CCUGGCUUACCUCCNUCAGUUAUGCGUCAUGACUUGUAUCGUCUUGAGCGUAUUGUGGGUUUCCUGUGUUGCAUACCUUUCUAAUGGUAUCGUGCUGAUUGAUCGAAGUCCCUUUUCAUCUUGUGUUGCUUUUUGUGACGCAUGAUGAACAUCGAGGCGGUCUCUAUGUUCCACCACGUUGAUGCUACUGUUUCAAUGUUGUGGCCCAUUGAGCGUUGCUUGGUUUCGUGGAUACAGAACAUGAUUUGGGCAUAGGGUUACUUGUGACUCUUGUUCUGUCCUUUAUCAGUGUUCUUUAUAACGACGGUUCAUGCGCGCCUAGGCUCGUACCUGCGCGAUGUUCUUUGUCGAAGAGGAAUGCUACCUGGUUGAUCCUGCCAGUAGUCAUAUGCUUGUCUCAAAGAUUAAGCCAUG